rnacentral:rRNA from 1 species
AAGUCUACAGGGUGAAGCCUCGCUUGCGGGGUGGAUCAGUGGCGAACGGGUGAGUAACACGUGAGCAACCUGCCCCUGACUCUGGGAUAAGCGCUGGAAACGGCGUCUAAUACUGGAUACGAACCACGAAGGCAUCUUCAGUGGUUGGAAAGAUUUAUUGGUUGGGGAUGGGCUCGCGGCCUAUCAGCUUGUUGGUGAGGUAAUGGCUCACCAAGGCGUCGACGGGUAGCCGGCCUGAGAGGGUGACCGGCCACACUGGGACUGAGACACGGCCCAGACUCCUACGGGAGGCAGCAGUGGGGAAUAUUGCACAAUGGGCGCAAGCCUGAUGCAGCAACGCCGCGUGAGGGAUGACGGCCUUCGGGUUGUAAACCUCUUUUAGCAGGGAAGAAGCGAAAGUGACGGUACCUGCAGAAAAAGCACCGGCUAACUACGUGCCAGCAGCCGCGGUAAUACGUAGGGUGCAAGCGUUAUCCGGAAUUAUUGGGCGUAAAGAGCUCGUAGGCGGUUUGUCGCGUCUGCUGUGAAAUCUGGGGGCUCAACCCCCAGCCUGCAGUGGGUACGGGCAGACUAGAGUGCGGUAGGGGAGAUUGGAAUUCCUGGUGUAGCGGUGGAAUGCGCAGAUAUCAGGAGGAACACCGAUGGCGAAGGCAGAUCUCUGGGCCGUAACUGACGCUGAGGAGCGAAAGGGUGGGGAGCAAACAGGCUUAGAUACCCCUGGUAGUCCACCCCGUAAACGUUGGGAACUAGUUGUGGGGUCCAUUCCACGGAUUCCGUGACGCAGCUAACGCAUUAAGUUCCCCGCCUGGGGAGUACGGCCGCAAGGCUAAAACUCAAAGGAUUGACGGGGACCCGCACUAGCCGCGGAGCAUGCGGAUUAAUUCGAUGCAUCGCUAAGUAUCUUUACAAGGCUUGACUUAUACGAGAACGGGCAAAAAUGGUCAACUCUUUGGAAACUCGAAACGGGGGGGCAUGGUUGU